rnacentral:rRNA from 1 species
AGAAUCAACGCUGGCGGCGUGCCUAACACAUGCAAGUCGCACGAGAAAGGGGAGCAAUCCCUGAGUAAAGUGGCGCACGGGUGAGUAACACGUGAAUAAUCUACCUCCGAGUGGGGAAUAACUGAGAGAAAUCUUAGCUAAUACCGCAUAACACUUACGAGUCAAAGCAGCAAUGCGCUUGGAGAGGAGUUCGCGGCCGAUUAGUAGUUGGCGGGGUAAUGGCCCACCAAGACGAUGAUCGGUA